rnacentral:tRNA from 1 species
AGUUAGUUGCGGCCUGGGGUGUGUGCUGUUUUGAAAACAGUAUAAAAGUGUUCGACACACUUAGUAACUU